rnacentral:rRNA from 1 species
GACGAACGCUGGCGGCGUGCUUAACACAUGCAAGUCGAACGGAAAGGCCCUGCUUUUGUGGGGUGCUCGAGUGGCGAACGGGUGAGUAACACGUGAGUAACCUGCCCUUGACUUUGGGAUAACUUCAGGAAACUGGGGCUAAUACCGGAUAGGAGCUCCUGCUGCAUGGUGGGGGUUGGAAAGUUUCGGCGGUUGGGGAUGGACUCGCGGCUUAUCAGCUUGUUGGUGGGGUAGUGGCUUACCAAGGCUUUGACGGGUAGCCGGCCUGGGAGGGUGACCGGCCCAAUGGGGCUGAGGAUAGGCCCAGAAUCCUACCGGGGGGAACGGGGGGGAAGUGUGCACAAUGGGCCGAAGCCUGAUGCAGCAACGCCGCGUGCGGGGUGCCGGCCUUCGGGGUGUAAACCGCUUUCGCCUGUGACGAAGCGUGAGUGACGGUAAUGGGUAAAGAAGCACCGGCUAACUACGUG